AGAUUGAACGCUGGCGGCAUGCCUAACACAUGCAAGUCGAACGGUAGCAGGCCUUCGGGUGCUGACGAGUGGCGGACGGGUGAGUAAUGCGUAGGAAUCUGCCCUGAUGUGGGGGAUAACGUAGGGAAACUUACGCUAAUACCGCAUACGACCGAGAGGUGAAAGCGGGGGACCGAAAGGCCUCGCGCAGCAGGAUGAGCCGAUGUCCGAUUAGCUGGUUGGUGGGUAACGGCCCGACCAAGGCGACGAUCGGUAGCUGGUCUGAGAGGAUGAUCAGCCACACUGGGACUGAGACACGGCCCAGACUCCUACGGGAGGCAGC
rnacentral:rRNA from 1 species